AUACGAAAGGUGCAAGCGUUGUUCGGAUUUACUGGGCGUAAAGAGAGUGUAGGUUGUUUAUUAAGUCGGAUGUGAAAUCCCGGGGCUCAACCUCGGAACUGCAUUCGAUACUGGUAGACUAGAGUUCGGGAGGGGUAAGCGGAAUUCCGUGUGUAGCAGUGAAAUGCGUAGAUAUACGGAGGAACACCUGAGGCGAAGGCGGCUUACUGGACCGAUACUGACACUGAGACUCGAAAGCGUGGGUAGCAAACAGGAUUAGAAACCCUAGUAGUCC
rnacentral:rRNA from 1 species